AUUGAACGCUGGCGGCAGGCCUAACACAUGCAAGUCGAGCGAGCGGCGGACGGGUGAGUAAUGUCUGGGAAACUGCCUGAUGGAGGGGGAUAACUACUGGAAAAGGUAGCUAAUACCGCAUACCAUCCGAACUUCCCAGAUGGGAGUAGCUAGGAGGUGGGGUAAUGGAUCACCUAGGCGACGAUCCCUAGCUGGUCUGAGAGGAUUACCAGCCACACUGGAACUGAGACACGGUCCAGACUCCUACGGGAGGCAGCAGUGGGGAAUAUUGCACAAUGGGCGCAAGCCUGAUGCAGCCAUGCCGCGUGUAUGAAGAAGGCCUUCGGGUUGUAAAGUACUUUCAGCGAGGAGGCGUUACUCGCAGAAGAAGCACCGGCUAACUCCGUGCCAGCCGCCGCGGUAAUUC
rnacentral:rRNA from 1 species